GAUAAACGCUGGCGGCGUGCCUAAAACAUGCAAGUCGGACGGGGUGGCCUUCGGCCAUCCAGUGGCGGACGGCUGAGGAACGCGUGGGCGACCUGCCCCCGGGUGGGGGAUACCCGCCCGAAAGGGCGGCUAAGACCGCAUCCUGCCCGUGCUUCGGUGCACGGGGCAAAGCCCUCUUCGGAGGGCGCCCGGGGAGGGGCCCGCGCCCGAUUAGCUGGUUGGCGGGGUGACGGCCCACCAAGGCGACGAUCGGUAGCUGGUCUGAGAGGACGGCCAGCCAGACUGGGACUGAGAGACGGCCCAGACUCCUACGGGAGGCAGCAGUUAGGAAUUUUGGGCAAUGGGCGCAAGCCUGACCCAGCAACGCCGCGUGGGGGACGACGGCCCUCGGGUCGUAAACCCCUUUUCCGGGGGACGAUGGUGACGGUACCCCGGGAAGAAGCCCCGGCUAACUACGUGCCAGCCGCCGCGGUAA
rnacentral:rRNA from 1 species